rnacentral:misc_RNA from 1 species
UACGGAGGGUGCGAACGUUGUUCGGAAUUAUUGGGCGUAAAGGGCGUGCAGGCGGUGGCGUGUGUCUGGUGUGAAAGCCCAUCUCUUAAAGAUGGAAUUGCGCUGGAAACUACGUCACUAGAGUCUCGGAGGGGAUGGCGGAAUUCCCGGUGUAGAGGUGAAAUUCGUAGAUAUCGGGAGGAACACCCGUGGCGAAGGCGGCCAUCUGGACGAUGACUGACGCUGAGACGCGAAAGCGUGGGGAGCAAACAGG